rnacentral:tRNA from 1 species
GGGCGGUUGGCACAGGGGUAGCGCGCGUCCUUCACACGGACGAGGUCACAAGUUCGAAACUUGUACCGCCCACCA